rnacentral:rRNA from 1 species
UGGGGGAUAUUGCACAAUGGGCGCAAGCCUGAUGCAGCGACGCCGCGUGGGGGAUGAAGGCCUUCGGGUUGUAAACUUCUUUUGCUCUGAACAAGGCGCACUUUGGGGUGUGUUGAGUGUAGGGGUUGAUUAGCGCCGGCUAACUACGUGCCAGCAGCCGCGGUAAUACGUCGGGCGCGAGCGUUGUCCGGAAUUAUUGGGCGUAAAGGGCUUGUAGGUGGCUGGUUGCGUCUGUCGUGAAAGCUCAUGGCUUAACUGUGGGUUUGCGGUGGGUACGGGCUGGCUUGAGUGCAGUAGGGGAGGCUGGAAUUCCUGGUGUAGCGGUGGAAUGCGCAGAUAUCAGGAGGAAUACCGGUGGCGAAGGCGGGUCUCUGGGCUGUUACUGACACUGAGGAGCGAAAGCAUGGGGAGCGAACAGG